GACGAACGCUGGCGGCGUGCCUAAUACAUGCGAGUUGAGCGCUGAAGGUUGGUACUUGUACCGACUGGAUGAGCAGCGAACGGGUGAGUAACGCGUGGGGAAUCCGCCUUUGAGCGGGGGACAACAUUUGGAAACGAAUGCUAAUACCGCAUAAAAACUUUAAACGCAAGUUUUAAGUUUGAAAGAUGCAAUUGCAUCACUCAAAGAUGAUCCCGCGUUGUAUUAGCUAGUUGGUGAGGUAAAGGCUCACCAAGGCGAUGAUACAUAGCCGACCUGAGAGGGUGAUCGGCCACAUUGGGACUGAGACACGGCCCAAACUCCUACGGGAGGCAGCAGUAGGGAAUCUUCGGCAAUGGACGAAAGUCUGACCGAGCAACGCCGCGUGAGUGAAGAAGGUUUUCGGAUCGUAAAACUCUGUUGGUAGAGAAGAACGUUGGUGAGAGUGGAAAGCUCAUCAAGUGACGGUAACUACCCAGAAAGGGACGGCUAACUACGUG
rnacentral:rRNA from 1 species